UACACACAAAGCCACAAAGGUGCUGUUCUUAAAGGAAAUGAUGGAUCAUGUUGGUUCAAAAUGAAACCGCAGUGCCUACCCACUAAUUCCACAGGGAGUACCUAAUCUUUGGGCUAGCUUAUGGUUCUGGGUUUUUCUGUUGUUUACCUUGGUAUAGGUGCAUGGAAGGCUGAUAAUACAGACAUGUACCAUAAGGUUAUUAUUUUAGAUACAGGGUGCGUAACCCAAGAUCUUGAAUGUCGAUGAUGGCGUCCUCAUCCUCUUCCUUGUCACCGUCUCAGGCAUGGCAACCGUGAUGGUUUCCUUCAUGCAUUAAGCUCGACGAUGAAAAAUUCCUCUACGAACGUGCUAAAUAUCUGAGUUUUUUUCUUCUUCAGAUCUAAAGGUUAUGUUUUGUGGCUAUUAAGAAAUGUGCGUUUGAGAGAAAUAACCAGAUCCAAGGUAAAGAAAACAACAAGAACCACCAUCAGAUCUAAAAACGAGGUGGUCUAGUUUCGAUGCGGGGAUGCCGGGAGCGAGUGGUUCUUCUACAUUGACAGCGGCGACAGUCUUUCAGGCUGUGACGAAGGGUUUUGCGAUGAUGCUGACAAGGUGAUGUUGGAGUGGGAGGGGUGAUUGCAAACUGAAAGAAAAAGCUAGUGAGAGAGAAAAAAAAUAAGGAAAAUAAUAUAUUUUUUUAAUGUUAUCUGAUGUAAGUAAUUUUAUCCUAAUAUUAAUUGUUGAUUUUAAUCUCAAUAUAUCUAACAGAAAAAAAAAAAAAAAAAAUUCUUUCACUG